rnacentral:tRNA from 2 species
GCCCCUGUAGCUCAACGGUUAGAGCAGCAGACUCAUAAUCUGUUGGUUGGAGGUUCGAAUCCUCCUGGGGGCACCA